rnacentral:tRNA from 1 species
AGAGGAUUGGUGUAAUGGUAGCAUGACGGUCUCCAAAACCGUUAGUCAAGGUUCGAGUCCUUGAUCCUCUGCCA